GGGUUGUGAGGUUAAGCGACUAAGCGUACACGGUGGAUGCCCUGGCAGUCAGAGGCGAUGAAGGACGUGCUAAUCUGCGAUAAGCGUCGGUAAGGUGAUAUGAACCGUUAUAACCGGCGAUUUCCGAAUGGGGAAACCCAGUGUGUUUCGACACACUAUCAUUAACUGAAUCCAUAGGUUAAUGAGGCGAACCGGGGGAACUGAAACAUCUAAGUACCCCGAGGAAAAGAAAUCAACCGAGAUUCCCCCAGUAGCGGCGAGCGAACGGGGAGCAGCCCAGAGCCUGAAUCAGUAUGUGUGUUAGUGGAAGCGUCUGGAAAGGCGCGCGAUACAGGGUGACAGCCCCGUACACAAAAAUGCACAUGCUGUGAGCUCGAUGAGUAGGGCGGGACACGUGGUAUCCUGUCUGAAUAUGGGGGGACCAUCCUCCAAGGCUAAAUACUCCUGACUGACCGAUAGUGAACCAGUACCGUGAGGGAAAGGCGAAAAGAACCCCGGCGAGGGGAGUGAAAAAGAACCUGAAACCGUGUACGUACAAGCAGUGGGAGCACGCUUAGGCGUGUGACUGCGUACCUUUUGUAUAAUGGGUCAGCGACUUAUAUUCUGUAGCAAGGUUAACCGAAUAGGGGAGCCGAAGGGAAACCGAGUCUUAACUGGGCGUUAAGUUGCAGGGUAUAGACCCGAAACCCGGUGAUCUAGCCAUGGGCAGGUUGAAGGUUGGGUAACACUAACUGGAGGACCGAACCGACUAAUGUUGAAAAAUUAGCGGAUGACUUGUGGCUGGGGGUGAAAGGCCAAUCAAACCGGGAGAUAGCUGGUUCUCCCCGAAAGCUAUUUAGGUAGCGCCUCGUGAAUUCAUCU
rnacentral:rRNA from 1 species